UCCCUUCUUGAUUGGCAGUGGACACUUGUGCCUACUGUCCCAUGUCAGCUUUGACCCCUGACUGGUUUGGAGCUGUGCAGGCCUGUGCAGGCCUGUGCAUGCUGCCUCAAGCUCUGUGAGUGUGUAUGUGUUCAGUCCAUUCUUGUCUGGAAGCCUUCGUUCCCUUGGUGUGAUUCAUCUACUGUGGAUCUUACAAUCUUCCCACCUCUUCCGUACAGUUUUCCUAAGCCCUGAGGGAAGGGGUUUAAUGAAGACACUACAUUGAUGUCUGAGUGUCCCAGGAUCUCUCAUUAUCCAGCUGUGGGCCUCUGGAUUAGGGGCUACCUCCUGCAGGAGGACGCCUCUCUGAUAAAGGGAAGGAGAUAGUGGGCCAGAGAAGUAGAGACGGAAACCCAAGGAACCAGCAGACACACCCUACACCCUGCAUCUCCCUUUAAGAACACAAGGAUGCUGUCCAGCGAGCUUGGAUGACUUGCCUAGAGUCUCGAGGCCGUCCCACCUUGAGCACCAGUGAGUGACAGUGCCUGCCUUUGUGCUCACAACCCUUCCACCCUGCAGCGUUGAUUAACCCUCUGGGUUUGCUGAUGUCUCAACAAUAGCAGCAGCAGCAACAACAACAACAACAACAACAACACAAAUUGUCUACUCAGGUUCUGGUUGAUGGGGCUCUGCGGCGGUUGGGGGGCAGUGGGGGUGACUCUCUGCAUUCUCCUCCAAGAGCCAUUAGAACACUUGACUUCCUUGGUAUCCUAGGCAACCAGGGUCACCCUGAACUCCUCUUCUGUCUGCUACAACAGCUCAGCCUCCUUGUCAUUCAGAGGUUUUCAAGUCAAACAGCAUCAGUUCGUGGUGUGAGUGAGGUCGGCUGUCACUGGGUAGCCCACAAGGUCAAGUAUCAGUGGCCUCUGUUGAUCUGGGACCCUCUGGUAGGACUGUGCCACCAGAGACCUUGUUUCAACUCAAAUCUCCUAGCAAAUGACUUCAAUAUAAAUGAAUUUGGCUAUGUAUGCUCGGUAGGGCAGUCUCCCAGCUGCAAUUCAGAAAGCAUUAAAAACAAACAAACAAACAAAUGGAACCUGUGUGUCACCUGUGGGGUAUCCUAUAGGAUUAAUUUCUAAGAACAGUGUCAUCCACUCCCAUAGUAAACUCACACAGUGGGGCCAGAAGGAUCACUCAGGAGGAAAAGGAAUUUUUUGUGAACCCCCCACAACUUGAGAUUAACCCCUCAAAUCUUACAGCAGAAGGGGAGAACUGACCUCCGAAAAUUGUCCAACACAGCACACACGGGAUACCUUUCUCUCAGAAACAAAAUGAAAACGAGAAACAAACCCUCAGGAAAAAAAC